UCCAAGCAGUGCCAGGGAUAGGAUGGUAUUUUUCCCCCACCUAAUUAUUAGCAUUAUUAUUAUUUUUUGAAAAAAAUCUAGAUUUUUUUUUCCCUCCUUGGGGUUGGAAUUGGUGGUUGCUUUGGGCAUUUUGGGAAUAAUGAGUUUACUGCUGCGUCUUGUUGCCGCCUCCUGUUCUCCACCCCUAGGGGCAAAACGCAAUACAUUGCCUUUGGAGGAUGCAAUGAUGAGGGGCACAAGGAGUUGUAAAUACCUUUUUUUUUAAGAGAAAAAAAUAGAUGCCUUCCUAAGCUUCCCCCCACCCCCUGUCCAACCAGAGAAGAAUUAUUUUGCUUUUGUUUUCCAUCUUUUUUUUUUAAAUCUUUCUGUGGAGCUGAGCUGCAGCGUCAGUGGAACAGAAAGAGAGAGAGAGAGAAAGAGAGAGAGAGAGAGAGAAAGAGUGGGAGAGGGGGAGACAGGCAACAUUGGUUUGGCCAUGACAAAAUGGAGAGAAACAGCACAGGUUUGGGUGCUUUAUGCACAGGAUGGCUGGUGAGAGAUGUUCUUGAGUGACGUGGGUAUGUUGGUUUAGAACGUUUGCUCUUGAGUUCUAACUCUGGUGGAAUCUUCCUCAGAAGAAGCCUUUGGAGAUCUGCCCAUGGCUAGGAUCCACUGAGUCCCUCUCCUGUGUUGAGUUAAAGAUAUCCAGUCCCCCUUCUUCCCCACCUCACCAGCGAGAAGAAACCGGAGAUGCAAAAAGGUGCCCAAGACCAUAGACUUUUGGAGGCUGUCUUUCCUAAGGUCCCAUUACCAUGGGGGUGUCAGUCAGCAGCCUCUCCCAUCUCCAGAGGGACACCAGCCUUGCUACUGCCUGAAGCCAGAAACAUCCAUGACUUUUUCAACAAGCCAAAGACUUGCCUUGCAGGGCUUCAACAGGGCUCUGGGGCGCAAGGAUGAUCAGAUCUCAGAACCAGCCCCCAAGGUUCCAGUGGUCUCCUCCACCAUUCCAUGUGGCCUCCCAAAAAAGGCAGAAGCUUUCUGGACCAAUGACCAAUCCUAACCCUGAUGAUAGCAACAGAGCUCACCCCUAAACAAGGCACAACUCCAAAGCAAAAAAACCCAACCUAUUUACAACAGGUCCCUGCUGAGGGCCGGCACGCUUUAUACCAAUGUCCAGCUGGAGAAAGAAUUCCAUGUUAUCAGGUAUCCCUGCUGACAGUAGAGUGUUGGAUUGGCUCAGCUGCUCAACCUCAAACUCUGGUUCCAGAUCUGAAGGAUGAAGGACAACAGGAGGGAGGGAGCUGGGAGCCUGUCCCCUAGCAGAAGCCCCCCAGUGAGCUCCCAAAUGGAGGGUGGGUAGGAUGUGCCCAGGCGCAAGUCCUACAGCAAGGCCCAAGGAGAUGUGUGGGUUGGCAGCCUGUCUCUGACAGCCCUUGUGCAGCUGCCCUGGAAGUUGGAUCCUCCUCUGUCUCUGCAAGGGAAGUGUCAUUACGGAUCCGCCCAGUCUGCAAUGGAGCCGGAGUGAGAAAAGUACCUGGAAAACAUGCCUGGGGCCAGCUCACUCUUCAGCCGCAGCUUCUCGAUAAACUUGGACCACAGCUGUGCUGCUCAAAUUCCCAGUCAGCGCUACCUUGGGGCCCUGCAACCCCCAUCUCACCGAAACAGACUUAAACACACAUCCUGCACCUCGGGGAAGUCCUCUGGAACCUGCAGUUCUUGUGCAUCUGUGAGGGCUCUCUGCCAUGGAAACCAAGCUACAGUCCUAUGAUGUCAUUACAAAACGAAACAGAGAAAAACCUCUAAGUGUAACCAACAGUAUCCUUUGAUUUCCUCACCCCCUUACCUCCUGCAUAUUAAACUGUACAGCGAGCUGUGCAUAAGGCAGCUAGGAACUGGUGUGUGCAUGUGACCCAGCCAAUAACAAGGCAAGUUCUGUGUGAGUUUAUAACACACUCCGGGUAUUUUAUGAAAGUUGAUUUUACUCAGCUGCUUGCCAGUAACUUUGUCAGUUACAAAGGUGUCAAUAGCCACCCUUUAAAUAUCCUCACAGUCCAAUUAAACUUCCCCCAAGAAUAUCAGGAGAUCAUCUAGUCCAACCCCUUGCUCAAAGCAGGACUAAUCCCCAAACAGUUUUUUUUUUUUUAAACCCUGUUCCUUUAAUGGCCCCCUCAAGGAUUGAAUUCACAACCCUGAGUUUAACAGGCCAAUGCUCAAACCACUGAGCUACCCCUCCCUAGACUAGGGCAACAUUUUUGGAAAAGCAACUAGUGAUUUUAUCUACCUCACUUUCUGGGGGGUGGGGGUGGCGUAUCUUAAAAGGAGUCUGAUUUUCAGAAAGGGUUGAUCCUUCCUCCUCUGCAAAUUAGGCCCCUUUAAGGUGCUUCAAAUUAGGCACCCAGAGGUUUACUCAUGAGGGUGGUUUUUCCCUUUAACCCUGCACAUUCCCCCUACCUGAAAAUAACGUAGCUGUGGCACUUCCACUGGGUGCUAUCAUCCUUUCAGCGGGUUAUUGUUUGAUAAGCAAAUGUAGAUGUAAACAGGUUUGAACCCACUCAAACGCUGACCCUGCAAUAAGUUAGCUUCUCCCUGUAAUUUACACAUUUGUUUGUUUCUUUUUAAAAAAGAUCAAUUGGC